GUGGGGAAUCUUCCGCAAUGGACGAAAGUCUGACGGAGCAACGCCGCGUGAGUGAUGAAGGUCUUCGGAUUGUAAAGCUCUGUUAAUCGGGACGAAAGAGCCUAGUGUGAAUAAUGCUAGGAAGUGACGGUACCGGAAUAGAAAGCCACGGCUAACUACGUGCCAGCAGCCGCGGUAAUACGUAGGUGGCAAGCGUUGUCCGGAAUUAUUGGGCGUAAAGCGCGCGCAGGCGGAUCUGCCAGUCUGGCGUAAAAGUUCGGGGCUUAACCCCGUAAUGGGAUGGAAACUACAGAUCUAGAGGAUCGGAGAGGAAAGUGGAAUUCCUAGUGUAGCGGUGAAAUGCGUAGAUAUUAGGAAGAACACCAGUGGCGAAGGCGACUUUCUGGACGAAAACUGACGCUGAGGCGCGAAAGCCAGGGGAGCGAACGGGAUUAGAAACCCUUGUAGUCC
rnacentral:rRNA from 1 species